UUGGCUCCACCUCUCCUAGACCCCAUUUAAGAGCUGACUACCAGUGGGGAAGGAUCUCUUUCCUGGAGAUUUCUCCUUUGGAGUUUUCCAGCAAGCCCAGGACAAGGUAGCUCUACAAGGAUGAAAGCUGGCAACAAGACAGUUAAUUACAACAUGUAUCUUCUCUGGGGAGAGUAAUAUAGUCUGUUUACUAGCUGUUGCAGAUUUCCCUGUUUUGUCUCUGCUGAGAAGGCCUACAGUAUUCACAAGAGGAAAUACUGUUUUGACUGAAAACCAUUAUCCACACCAGGAGAGUUGUAACUACACGCCGGGGGAACUAUGAAAAAAAAAAUAAAUAUAUGGUGUAUUCUCAUGAGACUUGGAAAGACAGUGUCCCUGCUCAGGCACAGCUAGGGUUGAUAUCAUGAGAGUGCAACAGCUAAUGACUACCAGGCUCAGGAUGGGCUCUGGGAUUACUGCAUCUAACUUGUUGUUCUGAUAAUACUUUGUGUUUUAUAGUCAUUCAAACAAGUGAAUGCUUGGACACAUUAAAUAUUUUGGGUUUAUACACAGCUUAAAGAAAAGUCGAAUUUUGUUGUUUUUUUUUUUUUGUUCUGGCAUAUUUAUUCUGACAUGGCUUCAGCAGAGAAUGUGCAUAUUAUUAGAGCAUCACUGCUUUUAUUUAAGUCAAUUUGCGUUAUUGCUACUGCCAAAAGUAUGCGUGGGCUAAGGGACUUUCAGUUUGACUCAUGUUUAAGAGGCAUCAAAAGCCCUUCUAAUUCCUCCGGUGUGGAAUGUUUAUAUAUUCAUUUUGGGAGAUUCUGGGGGGGACGAGGAGGAGGAAAAAAAGUAGGAAAACAUUUGAUUUUUUUUAAUUCUUUCUAGAAAUUCAUGAUAAAGAUAUAUUCAGCAUUCCUAGAACUUUCCUGAGAUGAUUCUGUACUGCUGCUUUUUGAAGCACAGCAAGUUGACUGUUAAUUGAACUUAAUGCUGAUUCGAGAACUGAGAUGAAUAAAUUUUGCACACCUUUGAGAUAUGUGUCUAUUCCAUUUCAAAAACAAGAAUGUUAGCUGUUCCAUUGUUGUUCUUGAAAACAUGCAUAGACAAGAAUUAAGAUCCUAAGCAAUGAAUUGUUUGCCCAGUGGAACUCCUAGAAUUAAAUGUGUGUAAGAGACAAUGUUGGGCAUUGUAAUAUUUGUUUGCUUUUUUCAUGUUUUUGUUUUACACUGUGGUAAAAGAAUAUGUUUCUUUAAAUAUUUUUGUCAGCAUAUUCUGAUAUAUAUGUAAAUUUCUGUUACUUUUAUCUUUAUCACUUCAGAUAGCAUCCUCUCAAGUUCUUAAAUAUGCUACCUUUAAGAAUUGAGCUCUAAAGGUCAGGUUAGAUCUUCUUCCUCUUAAUUUUAUUCCUCUUUUCCUCCUCAUUAAUGCUUCCCCCAGAUAGAUUAAAUAGAGGUAUUUGGGUGAAUAUUCAUUUUUUACUGUUGCAAAUCUUCAUAUUUGAAGGUCAUUACCAUCUUGUCCUAUAGAAUUUGUGAGGUUCUUGAGAGGCAUGCUUUCUAGAUAUAUCUAGAAGAUUUUUGAAUAAUUUUUUAGCAAGUUAAUAUUUUGAAUACACAGAACCUUUCCUGAAACACAGUGUAUUAUUUUGCAUGAAUUUUUGGUGUAUAUCAUACUUUAUUCUAUUCAGUUUUCCAUUUUCUGUGAAGCCAGUAACUAAUUAUAAACAGGUUUGAUGAUGGAGAUUUAAAUGCAAAAUAACUGUUAGUGUUUCUAGUAUAUAGAACACAUUUUCUUUUUUGACUGGAUGUGUGACUGUAGCCAGCCAUGCUGGGACUGUGACAAGUUACAGUUCUGUGUCAUUCAUCUCCCAUGACAUCCUUUUUAUGGGUGGUAGUGGUUAUCCCUUUGUCUUUAACUUAAGUACCUCUUAUGAUAUUGCUUUGACAAUGAGUGGCAGUCCAUAUAGAAAGCUGAGGAUCUUAAUCCUUGUUGAAGUGAUCUUUUAGUUGAGAUGAUUUGCUGUCUUGGAGUAAAUGUAUAAAAUGACUCAAGUUCAAGUAAUUGUUCUAACCUGGAUGAGGAAAAAAGAGCAGGAGUUUUAUGUUACAGGAGAGAGGAAUAAAAGUAAGAUUUUUUUUUCUACUUCCGAGAUUCAUGUUGUUGGGAGGAUUAGAAGCUAAAGUUUUUCCUUUUGUCAGGCUCUGUUCUGUGCUACUGUUGGAUAUUUCUUAUAUUAAUGCAGUGAAAAUUCUCACCCUAUCAUUAAUUUACCCCAGUGUAAAUUUCCAUGAAAUUGUUGCAUGCCUGUGAGAGCUCUGGUAACUAGUUAUGUGGCAUUUAAAGCUGAUUUUUGAGGUUUAUACUGGUUUCCCAAGUCUCAAAGUCUACAAUGCCCGGUGAGCUUUUUUUAGUUUUCCCUCACCUUUUGUCAUCUUUCUUGACUUUUAGAGAGUUUUAAAGGUCACUGUUAUCCCAGACAGUACCCAUUUUCCUUUUCUGCAGAAUAUGCUUGUCAAAAAUACUUUCUUAAACACAGCAAUCAGUUUCCUUAGGAACCCAUACACCUCAAUUUGUCCUAAGAAUACUGAAAAGGAAUCUAGAAUAUAGUUUUUUCCUCUCAAGAUUCUUUUUUUUGUCUACAUCAAUUGCUACCACUUUUAACAGAAUCUGUACUGCAGAAGAGAACACUACUUAGAAAAUAGAGCAUGCAUUUGGUACAGAAAUGAUAUGUGAAAUCCUGUCUAGAAAUCAAAAUAAAAUAGAAUUUGUCAUUUACAUGCUAUAUUUGAUUCAAUUCAUAAUUAUUAUCCUAGCAAAUUGCCUUUUUAAUUUUAGUAUAAGUGAUUAAAGUUUAGCCAUUUGAAUGACCUAUGUAAUUGCGGAUGUAUUUUCAGAAAAUGCUUCUUUUUUUGAUGGGAAGGAUUUAUUUGAUCUGUGAGGAAUAUUGGUUCUGUAACUGAGCUACUGCCUAAGGGAAAAUUGAACACAGGAGAUAUUCACAUGCUCUUGUGUUCGUGUAUCAACAUUCUCCAGGAAGGGUAAUCUCAAAUGUAAGCAAGGUUACUCCAGAAAAGAGUGUAAUGUGAAUAAAGCUUAUAGUGAGAGAACAAAAUGAAAUUUAAGAUGUGGUUGAAGUUGGUGCUUUUUUUUCUUUACAAACCGAAACUAAAAAACCUUCUCAUGCUAGUGUUGUCAUUUGGUUUAUCUUAUAAGAGCAGAAAUCAGGGUUUUGAUCUGUAAAAAUCUGUUUGUUUGUUUUUUUUAACUAAGUUUAACAUGUCAGAGAACACCGUGUUUACCAAUUUGAAGAACAAUCAUUAGGCUCAAUAUUUUUAACCCUAUUACACAGCAGCAAUUCUCAUACAGUGACAGUAACUUCCCUGGGGAGGAUCACAUCUCUACCAAGUGAAAUCAAAGCAAAUUCAUGGAAUGUCAACA